GCUGGGCGUGGUGGCGCAUGCCUGUAGUCCCAGCUACUCAGGAGGCUGAGGCAGGAGGAUCGCUUGAACCCAGGAGGCGGAGGUUGCAGUCAGCCGAGAUCGUGCCACUGCACUCUAGCCUGGUGACAGAGUGAGACUCCGUCUCAAAAAAAAAAACAAAUUUCUAGAGACAUGUUGCCCAGGCUGGAGUGCAGUGGCACGAUCAUAGCUCACUGCAGCCUUGAACUCCUGGGCUGAAGUGAUCCACCCACCU
rnacentral:SRP_RNA from 2 species